rnacentral:rRNA from 1 species
UUGACAUGCAGAGAACUUUCCAGAGAUGGAUUGGUGCCUUCGGGAACUCUGACACAGGUGCUGCAUGGCUGUCGUCAGCUCGUGUCGUGAGAUGUUGGGUUAAGUCCCGUAACGAGCGCAACCCUUGUCCUUAGUUACCAGCACGUUAUGGUGGGCACUCUAAGGAGACUGCCGGUGUUAAACCGGAGGAAGGUGGGGAUGACGUCAAGUCCUCAUGGCCUUUAUGACCAGGGCUACACACGUACUACAAUGGCCGAUACAAAGGGCAGCGACACUGCGAGGUGAAGCCAAUCCCGUAAAAUCGGUCUCAGUCCGGAUUGGAGUCUGCAACUCGACUCCAUGAAGUUGGAAUCGCUAGUAAUCGUGGAUCAGCAUGGCGCGGUGAAUACGUUCCCGGGCCUU